GACGUAGGGCGCGAGCGUUGUCCGGAUUUAUUGGGCGUAAAGGGAGUGUAGGCGGCUUGUUAAGUCUUCUGUGAAAUCUACGGGCUCAGCCUGUAAAGUGCAGAGGAAACUGGCGAGCUUGAGUGUCGGAGAGGAUAGGGGAAUACCCGGUGUAGAGGUGAAAUUCGUAGAGAUCGGGUGGAACACCAGUGGCGAAGGCGCCUAUCUGGCUGACAACUGACGCUGAGACUCGAAAGCAUGGGGAGCAAACAGG
rnacentral:rRNA from 1 species